rfam:Gossypium raimondii Chr13_contig_1284, whole genome shotgun sequence.
UGUUAAAAAUUUCAUCUAUUUUUACUGUUAAAAACUGACGUGAUUAACGAAAUAACUAGACAAUAUACCUCAUGCCAACAUACAUGAGCAAAUUUUUAACAGUAAAAAUGAAUGAAGUUUUUAACC